rnacentral:rRNA from 1 species
AGUGAACGCUGGCGGUAGGCCUAACACAUGCAAGUCGAACGGCAGCACAGUAAGAGCUUGCUCUUACGGGUGGCGAGUGGCGGACGGGUGAGGAAUACAUCGGAAUCUACUUUUUCGGGGGGGAUAACGUAGGGAAACUUACGCUAAUACCGCAUACGACCUACGGGUGAAAGCAGGGGAUCUUCGGACCUUGCGCGAUUGAAUGAGCCGAUGUCGGAUUAGCUAGUUGGCGGGGUAAAGGCCCACCAAGGCGACGAUCCGUAGCUGGUCUGAGAGGAUGAUCAGCCACACUGGAACUGGGACACGGUCCAGACUCCUACGGGAGGCCGCAGUGGGGAAUAUUGGACAAUGGGCGCAAGCCUGAUCCAGCCAUACCGCGUGGGUGAAGAAGGCCUUCGGGUUGUAAAGCCCUUUUGUUGGGAAAGAAAAGCAGCAGGUUAAUACCCCGCUGUUCUGACGGUACCCAAAGAAUAAGCACCGGCUAACUUCGUG